rnacentral:rRNA from 1 species
UGCGUAGGUGGCGCGCUAAGUCAGGUGUGAAAUCUCGGGGCUUAACUCCGAAACUGCAUUUGAUACUGGCGUGCUUGAGGACUGGAGAGGAGACUGGAAUUCACGGUGUAGCAGUGAAAUGCGUAGAUAUCGUGAGGAAGACCAGUGGCGAAGGCGGGUCUCUGGACAGUUCCUGACACUGAGGCACGAAGGCCAGGGGAGCAAACG